rnacentral:rRNA from 1 species
CUACGGGGUGCAGCAGUGGGGAAUAUUGCACAAUGGGCGAAAGCCUGAUGCAGCGACGCCGCGUGAGCGAUGAAGUAUUUCGGUAUGUAAAGCUCUAUCAGCAGGGAAGAAAAAAUGACGGUACCUGACUAAGAAGCUCCGGCUAAAUACGUGCCAGCAGCCGCGGUAAUACGUAUGGAGCAAGCGUUAUCCGGAUUUACUGGGUGUAAAGGGAGCGUAGGCGGUCUUAUAAGUCUGAUGUGAAAGCCCGGGGCUCAACCUCGGGACUGCAUUGGAAACUGUAGGACUAGAGUGUCGGAGGGGUAAGUGGAAUUCCUAGUGUAGCGGUGAAAUGCGUAGAUAUUAGGAGGAACACCAGUGGCGAAGGCGGCUUACUGGACGAUUACUGACGCUGAGGCUCGAAAGCGUGGGGAGCAAACAGGAUUAGAUACCCCCGUAGUC